GUGCCUUUCUUGUCUUUAAUGUUUUGCUUAUUUAAAUUAAAAAUACAGGAAAAACUGGCAAUUACAGUAGUAAGAACUACUGAGAUAUAAAAUGGGAAAUGUGUCAUGAAAAUAAUUUCAUAAUGAAAAUCUUCCUAAAAAUAGGCAGAAUUUUUUCUUUUUGAUUUCAGGGUGAGCUGUGCCUUGGACGUGUUUUCGUGAGAUCCACUCAUCAUCAUGUUUCUCUCUUUUCUUCCGUGCAUCGAUCAGACGUCCGUUUGAGGGCCGCAGUGUUUGUCUGCAGAGGUUCUACAGAUUUAAAACCUAGCACAGAAAUAAAAGAAUCUGUGGCAACGGCAGAGGAAGAGUUCAAGAACAGCACUGAAGAGACAGAAAGAAAGCUCGUUCCUGAAGACGAGGAUGACGAGGAUUCUGGAGGCUCUGGACAUGUCCUGCCACAGCGGAAACCAAUGUUCGCUGGAGGCUCUGGACUUGUCCUGCCACAGUGGAAACAAAGAUUUUUCUAUUUUGCUAAAUCUAGACGAGUCAAGCCACAGUGGAAAGAAGUAUAUCCUUGUGAGAUUAUUACAAUAAACCCUCAUCUUGAAGAUAAAGAUGAGGAUGAAGAAAUGGAAAUGUCCAGGACUCAGUCUAUGGACAACUUGGCUCUGAUGCAGAAGCCUCUCUAGCAGUGAUGUGUUUUGAAGUUUGAUUUCGGGUGAAUCAAAGCUUCAUCCGGCAGACCAAGGAUUGAAAAUAAAGCAUCCAUAACCAGUUCCUUAUCA
ensembl:lncRNA